GCCUGGGUGGCUCAGUCAGUUAAGCGUCUGACUUCAGCUCAGGUCACGAUCUCGCGGUCCGUGAGUUCGAGCCCCACGUCGGGCU
rnacentral:tRNA from 1 species